GUUGGUGAGGUAACGGCUCACCAAGCCUUCGAUGGAUAGGGGUUCUGAGAGGAAGGUCCCCCACAUUGGAACUGAGACACGGUCCAAACUCCUACGGGAGGCAGCAGUGAGGAAUAUUGGUCAAUGGGCGGUAGCCUGAACCAGCCAAGUAGCGUGAAGGAUGAAGGCUCUAUGGGUCGUAAACUUCUUUUAUAUAAGAAUAAAGUGCAGUAUGUAUACUGUUUUGUAUGUAUUAUAUGAAUAAGGAUCGGCUAACUCCGUGCCAGCAGCCGCGGUAAUACGGAGGAUCCGAGCGUUAUCCGGAUUUAUUGGGUUUAAAGGGAGCGUAGGUGGACUGGUAAGUCAGUUGUGAAAGUUUGCGGCUCAACCGUAAAAUUGCAGUUGAUACUGUCAGUCUUGAGUACAGUAGAGGUGGGCGGAAUUCGUGGUGUAGCGGUGAAAUGCUUAGAUAUCACGAAGAACUCCGAUUGCGAAGGCAGCUCACUGGACUGCAACUGACACUGAUGCUCGAAAGUGUGGGUAUCAAACAGGAUUAGAUACCCUGGUAGUCCACACAGUAAACGAUGAAUACUCGCUGUUUGCGAUAUACAGUAAGCGGCC
rnacentral:rRNA from 1 species